UUCGGUGGUCAUAGCGUGAGGGAAACGCCCGGUUACAUUCCGAACCCGGAAGCUAAGCCU
rnacentral:rRNA from 1 species